AUUGAACGCUGGCGGCAGGCCUAACACAUGCAAGUCGAGCGGAUGAAGAGAGCUUGCUCUCUGAUUUAGCGGCGGACGGGUGAGUAAUGCCUAGGAAUCUGCCUGGUAGUGGGGGAUAACGUUCCGAAAGGAACGCUAAUACCGCAUACGUCCUACGGGAGAAAGCAGGGGACCUUCGGGCCUUGCGCUAUCAGAUGAGCCUAGGUCGGAUUAGCUAGUUGGUGAGGUAAUGGCUCACCAAGGCGACGAUCCGUAACUGGUCUGAGAGGAUGAUCAGACAAACUGGAGCUGAGACACGGUCCAGACUCCUACGGGAGGCAGCAGUGGGGAAUAUUGGACAAUGGGCGAAAGCCUGAUCCAGCCAUGCCGCGUGUGUGAAGAAGGUCUUCGGAUUGUAAAGCACUUUAAGUUGGGAGGAAGGGCAGUAAGUUAAUACCUUGCUGUUUUGACGUUACCGACAGAAUAAGCACCGGCUAACUUCGUGCCAGCCGCCGCGGUAAGAC
rnacentral:rRNA from 1 species